CACUGAGCAGUGACACACACACAGGCUCACGUUUGCUGGAGACCUUUGAAAUGGAUCACGACGGAAACAUGGCAUUAUCACUUGCGGUCGCUGAACCAAACACCUGUGGCAGAGCCAGAUGAAGAUGCUGAGUUUGCACUGGGAAAGAGGCCAAAUUCACUCAUGAAUCACGUCCCUGCAAACCAAAAUCCAGCAGAAGUAAAAUGCUGUCCUAAAGCAG
rnacentral:lncRNA from 1 species